GCCUGAGGUACAAAGACGAGGAGCCUCUUGAUCAAGACCCCUCAUUGAGAUCCUCUGAUCCUGUCUGCUGCUAUUUGAUCUCGGACAGGUCCCAAGGUCCUGCACCCUCAAAUGGUGGGGACAAGAGUCCUUCUCUUUGCUGACGGUGAAGGCCUAGGAGCCAGGCCUUGCCCACCUAUUGAAAGUGCUCCUCACGGGGACCCUGUGAGCUCCCCACCACUGUUGAAAGAAGGAUCCCAAGGUCCUCUCACACUGGAGCUUGGAAGUUGGCAUCACAGUGCCACAGGACUGUGUGCCCUCUGUGGCUCCAGGGGAGGGUCUGCUUCUGGCUUAUGCAUUUAUCCAUUUUCUCAUUCGUUCAUCUCAUAAGCAGAACUUUCUCACAAGCCUCCUGUCGGUCAGGCCACAGAGGAGUCCUGACUUCACCGCUUUUCUGGAAGUUUCUUCAAAUCUCUCGUGAACCUCAAAGGCCUUGGAGCUUGGUGACCUCUGUCCUCUGUGGUGUGGCUUCCGGGCAUUCCUGGGGUGGCCGCAGCUCUUGAGGUUAUUCUUGGAUAACCACAAGUCACCCUCCUGUGAACAGAGACUUUUCAUCAGACACUGAUGGAAGUAACGUCAUUCCCAAAUUACCGGGGCUCUGCGGGUGGGGCUGGUGUGACCCAUGUCCCUUGAGGGGUCCCAGCUCUACCACUUUCUGCCAAGACCCUGGACCAUCGCUUCCUGCUGCCCUCUGGGUUAGGGGCUCCCUGCACCCGUGGGGCCAUGGUUCCCAUCUGGAAAAAUCAGAAGCUCCGGGCAAAAGGUGUUUGUUUCUUUAGGAUGAAGCAGGUGGAUGUGGCUCUGAGUUCAGGGAAAUGACCAGAUCAGCAUGUUGGAAAGAGGGAGGAGGCAGCAGCAGAUGCAGUCCCUCACACCAGCUUGGGGACCCCAGCUCUUGCUUAGCCUGGCACAGCAUGGAGGAGCCUCUGACACCCACUGAGAGACCUGGGAAGGGUGCCUGGGAAGGGCCCCAGCUGGAGUGCAAACAUGAGGUGACUAUUAGCUUUAUUCCCAAGCCAGGGUGAGAGGAGGGAGAGAGGCAGACAAGAGGCAGAGACAGAGAGAGAUGGAGGGAGACCGAGGCAGAGGCAGGCAGAGGAGGCACAGAGGUGCAGGCAGAGCUCCUCUCUCAGAGGGCCUUCAAGACCCUCCUGAAACACAGGGGUAGGAUGUGGUAAGGCCUUCCAGAAAGAAAAGUGGAUGACCGCCAGGAGGUACUAUGUGCUCACUCAGGCUGCGCUCAUUCAUUCACUCAACAAACAUUCCCUAGGUGGCCAUCUGGGCCCGGUACUGGUCACAGCCACCAGCCUCUUCCCCAGUGGCUGUGGAUGCCUGUUGCAUCCAUGUGGGACGCAGACACAGAAAACUCCUGUCCCUGUGCAGCUCACCCAGCCCAGUAAGUGACUAGCAGCGGCACUAGGGAGAGAAUCCUGACGGCAGAGCUGGCACCAUCUGGGCUUCAGUUCCCUGUGGGUCCUGCAGAGUGACCGGGUGACCUUUGGUGGCCAGCACAGGUAGAAUGGAUGCUUCCUGCCAGGCUCAAUAUCCCCAGGCUGUAGAGGCUGCUGAUCCAGCUCAGACAUGCCGGUGGGGGAGGGAGGACAGAAGUGACCCGGCCACUCUGGGGCGCUGGGGGCUUCAGCCGACUCCUUCCUUUCAUGGUGAGUUGCUGACCCCACCCUCUUGGGGCCCCAGAUUUCUCACAUGCUAGAAAAGCUCAGUGUGUCCAGUAGAAAAAAAUGUGGGCCACGUAAGUGAUUUAAAUUGUCUUGCAGUCACAUUAAAAAGAUAAAAAGAAGCAGGUGAAGUUAAUCUUAGUAACAUUUAUUUAACCCAAUGUAGC
rnacentral:lncRNA from 1 species